rnacentral:rRNA from 1 species
GCUGAAUAUACCGGUUCUCGUUAAAUCACCGAAGUCAAGCAUCAUUGGGCGUGGUCAGUACUUGGGUGGGUGACCAUCUGGGAUCACCGCGUGCCGUU